rnacentral:lncRNA from 1 species
GGGCUUUAUUAAAUUAAUGGAUCAUAACAAUUAACCUUAUGUUACAUUGAACAUUCUUUUAAUCAAGUAUUUGAUAUUAGUGAUUAUAAAUAUCAGUAUGUCGCAGUUUUUAUUUUAUAUUAGCCUGCGAACAGGCUCUCAAGCUGAAUUGAGAGCCUGCAUCGAUGACUAAUGAAUUUGAAUAUCUGCCCCGUAACGUUCGUUUUUCCAAAUAUGGAAUGUCUAUCCUUAUAUGGUGUUGUUUACAACUUUGGUGCAAACUAAAUUUAGACCAUGCAAACUAAAUUUAGACCGUACAGUUUAUACUGUUUUUCGAAAUAUAAGAUAUUGAAGCAAAAGUUUAAAUGUUUUAAAUUCUGUUUUCUCGAAACAGAACAUUUCGUGCUUUGAGAUAAGAUGGCCAAGACCAAUUUGAUCAGUUAAUGUGUUUUUUAUGCAUAGUGCUAGCAGUUGACAUAUAUAGAGCUCAGCGGAAUAAUAUAAAUUAUAGCAUCUGACCAAUGAGAAUUUCGCGUCACGAUUUGAGACGCAGAUAUUCAAAUUCAUUAGUCAUCGAUGCAGGCUCUCAAUUCAGCUUGAGAGCCUGUUCGCAGGCUAAUUUUAUAUUUAUGUUCAUAAUGCAAAUUGAAUUUUUAUUCCAAAAGCUUGCGACAUGUACGCAGUGCGUACCUAUUUUAUUAUAAAACUGACAUCUGAACUAUAAUUAGAUUAUUUUUCUGGUAAGUCGUGUCAUUUUGAAAACGGGUGUAAUAACACAAACGAUAUAUUUAUUACGUUUCAUUGUCGGAACUAAUCAACCACAGAAUCUGUUCCUAGGGUUUGGCAAUGACCCAUUGUUAUCAGUUAAUUUGUUCCCCCCUCAAUUUAAAAUCUUGUAUAUUAGUGACAUAUAUUAGACAACAUUAUAUUAAAUAUUUCUUAUAAAAUGCCUUUGUUGAAUACAAUUUUCGCUGAAUUUCGAGUAGAUAACUAAGUAAACUUUUAAGUAAGCGCAUGAGGCCGAGUGUAAAAUUAUAAGGUUUAAUUUCACACGUGUUUUCAAAGGGCAAUUUGUGAAACUUUGAAAACACAAAUGAAAUUAAACCUUAAUUUUACGAGGAACUAUACGAUUACUUGUUAAUCAUAGAGGGCAAUUUAAUCGUAAAUAAAUUUAAUUCUUAAAUACUCCAACCAACAAAUUUUUAUUUUCUAGUGUUAGAGUUCUCACUAGAAGUUUUUAAUUCUUCAAUAGCAGCUUAUCGUCAACGACAAAGCAAGAAGCCAUUGUUUUUAUCACCAUUUAAAACAUGAAACUUCGCGCGUUUGCGUCUCAGCCAAUCAGGUACAAGUAAUAUUGCCCUGAAUUACAAAAAAAUGCCCUGAUCAUUAGCCAAUCAUAUUUGAGUAAUUUUGCCCUCUAUUUGAUUAUUUCUAAAAAUCAGUAAGGUCGAUAUAAAACAUUUUUUUCUGCUCUACUCUGAUUAAUUAAUACAAAUAAAUGCAAUCCUCGGUCAACACUCCAGUUUUUAUUUUCACUCCAGUUUCAGUUUCUAGUGCCCCCCCCCUCCCCGCCCCCUCCAGACAAUGAUGUAGAACUAAAACGAUAACCAGGGGAAUCUCAUAGGGAGGCGGGGUAACAGAACAUACAUAUAUGGAGUGACAAAAUCUUAAGUUAAAAUCAUAUACUUACCAUAUACAAGAUGUAUAAAAAGUAGACAAUUUUGAAACGGCUCUCAAUUUCACAAAUCCGUUUUGAUAAAUUUUUGAUAAA